rnacentral:rRNA from 1 species
UGUACCUACGGGAGGCAGCAGUGAGGAAUAUUGGUCAAUGGGCGGGAGCCUGAACCAGCCAAGUCGCGUGAGGGAAGACGGUCCUAUGGAUUGUAAACCUCUUUAGGCGGGGAGCAAUGCCGGGCACGCGUGUCCGGAGGGAGAGUACCCGCAGAAUAAGCAUCGGCUAACUCCGUGCCAGCAGCCGCGGUAAUACGGAGGAUGCGAGCGUUAUCCGGAUUUAUUGGGUUUAAAGGGUGCGUAAGCGGACUGUUAAGUCAGCGGUAAAAGCCCGGGGCUCAACCCCGGCGAGCCGUUGAAACUGG